CUGAUGAAUGGAUAAAGAAGAUGUGGUAUAUAUAUAAAUGGAAAUAUUACUCAGCCAUAAAAAAGAAUGAGAUCUUGUCAUUUGCAACCACAUGAACAGACCUAGAGGGUAUAUUGCUAAGUUAAACAAAUCAGAGACAGAAAGAUAAAUACCAAAUGAUUUCACUAAUAUGUGGAAGCUAAAAAAACAAAUGAAUAAACAAAAACAAAUGGGGGGGGGCACCUGAAUGGCUCGGGUGAUGGAGCAUGCAACUUGGUAUCAGGGUCAUGAGUUUGAGCCCCGUGUUGUGCACUGAAUGUGCUUUAAU